rnacentral:rRNA from 1 species
GGGGAAUAUUGGGCAAUGGGCGCAAGCCUGACCCAGCAACGCCGCGUGAAGGAAGAAGGCCUUCGGAUUGUAAACUCCUGUUGUUGAGGAAGAUAAUGACGGUACUCAACAAGGAAGUGACGGCUAACUACGUGCCAGCAGCCGCGGUAAAACGUAGGUCACAAGCGUUGUCCGGAAUUACUGGGUGUAAAGGGAGCGCAGGCGGGAAGACAAGUUGGAAGUGAAAUCCAUGGGCUCAACCCAUGAACUGCUUUCAAAACUGUUUUUCUUGAGUAGUGCAGAGGUAGGCGGAAUUCCCGGUGUAGCGGUGGAAUGCGUAGAUAUCGGGAGGAACACCAGUGGCGAAGGCGGCCUACUGGGCACCAACUGACGCUGAGGCUCGAAAGUGUGGGUAGCAAACAGGAUUAGAUACCCUGGUAGUCCACACUGUAAACGAUGAUUACUAGGUGUUGGAGGAUUGACCCCUUCAGUGCCGCAGUUAACACAAUAAGUAAUCCACCUGGGGAGUACGACCGCAAGGUUGAAACUCAAAGGAAUUGACGGGGGCCCGCACAAGCAGUGGAGUAUGUGGUUUAAUUCGACGCAACGCGAAGAACCUUACCAAGUCUUGACAUCCUGCGACGGACAUAGAAAUAUGUUUUUCCUUCGGGACGCAGAGACAGGUGGUGCAUGGUUGUCGUCAGCUCGUGUCGUGAGAUGUUGGGUUAAGUCCCGCAACGAGCGCAACCCUUAUGGUCAGUUACUACGCAAGAGGACUCUGGCCAGACUGCCGUUGACAAAACGGAGGAAGGUGGGGAUGACGUCAAAUCAUCAUGCCCUUUAUGACUUGGGCUACACACGUACUACAAUGGCGUUAAACAAAGAGAAGCAAGACCGCGAGGUGGAGCAAAUCUCUAAAAAACGUCCCAGUUCAGAUUGCAGGCUGCAACUCGCCUGCAUGAAGACGGAAUUGCUAGUAAUCGCAGAUCAGCAUGCUGCGGUGAAUACGUUCCCG